rnacentral:lncRNA from 1 species
GCUUUGUAGAACAAUCUUAGGGUUUAUAUGAGAGGGAAUUGGUUCUUUGCAGAUGAGUUCCCUUCAGUCUCUGGAGGUUGCUCUGAAUUAGUUAGAAUCUCUCUAGCCUUGUUCCAAGGAAACCUCAGAGUGUUUUCAGCUUUCACCAAUUCUCCCACUCCUCCUUUUUCUUUACUGAAAUUUCAGAAUUUAUAACUUGAUCGUGGGCUCAAAUGAGAGAGGUCAAAGUCCAAGAUUUUUCGGUUAUAUAUUUUUUUUGUUUUGUUUUUUUUUCUUCUUUUCUUUUUUCGUUUUUUUUUAUAUUUUCAAAAUGCGUGGGCUUCGCCUAGUGAGCAUGACAGUUCUGGAAAUUCCUCUGAGCGCAGGUGAUUCUUGUGGCUUUUCUUGGGUCUCACUAGGCGACCCAUUCUGCUCGCCUAGCGAGCAUGACAGCUCAUGAACAAACUUUUGCUCCUUUGAAUAAUGAAUAGACCCUAUUUGAACAUGUUGGAAGUAACUCAAGUCAUUCCCUGGCCAUUUCACCUUCAGUUGAACAAACUGUAUUAAGCCCAUUAAGCUUGAUCCUUCAGAUAGAACCCACAAAGUGACUUGAAUGAUAUCCGAGCUUCUUGAAAGAUAAACUC